CCUACGGGCGGCAGCAGUGAGGAAUAUUGGUCAAUGGCCGGAAGGCUGAACCAGCCAUGCCGCGUGACGGUCAGUGCCCUAUGGGCGUUAAACUUCUUUUGUGCGGGAGCAAUAAUGGUCACGUGUGGCCAGACGAGAGUACCGUACGAAUAAGCAUCGGCUAACUCCGUGCCAGCAGCCGCGGUAAUACGGGGGAUGCAAGCGUUUUCCGGAGUUAUUGGGUUUAAAGGGGGUGUAGGCUGUGAGGUAAGUCAGCGGGGAAAUGCCCCCGGUCAACGGGGUGAAGUGCCAUUGAUACUGGCUUGCUGGAGUGCGGGUGCCGUGGGAGGAAUGUGUGGUGUAGCGGUGAAAUGCAUAGAUAUCACACAGAACACCGAUUGCGAAGGCAUCUCACGAAUCCGCGAUUGACGCUGAUGCACGAAAGCGUGGGUAUCAAACAGGAUUAGAUACCCCGGUAGUC
rnacentral:rRNA from 1 species